GCCAGCUUGGCAUAGUGGCUUGUGUGUUGGACUAGGACACCGGGAGAUCAGGGUUUAAAUCCCUGAUCUGCCA